AUGAACGCUGGCGGCGUGCUUAACACAUGCAAGUCGAACGAUUAAAGCUCACUUCGGUGAGUGUAUAGAGUGGCGAACGGGUGAGUAACACGUGGGAAACCUGCCCCUUUCUUCGGGAUAACUUCGGGAAACCGUUGCUAAUACCGGAUACUCCGGGAUGGUCGCAUGGCCGACCUGGGAAAGCUUUAUGUGGAAAGGGAUGGUCCCGCGGCCCAUUAGCUUGUUGGUGGGGUAAUGGCCUACCAAGGCAAUGAUGGGUAGCCG
rnacentral:rRNA from 1 species